rnacentral:siRNA from 1 species
UGAGUUUUCGUCAGGUGAUUUAGC